GGUUCCAGUUCACUGAAGAAUUCAAACACAUGCUUUGAUUGACAGCGCAAAUGCCUUGAAACAGUUAACGCUGGAUGAGAUAUUUGUAGAGCAGACAAAUGUUCACAAGGAAGAAACUCAACGUGAAGAUGCUCGGUGAAAGCAAGCUAUUUCCCAGACAGGUGUCACUGGGAGAAGACCUCUGCUAUGGGCUGGUUUCCCACCAGUUUGUUGACUUUGCUGAUGGGACACUGAAGCUUCAGAGAACUGCAGCGUUUCUGCGCGAUGCAGCUCCUUUCAAACAGGACAGGAACCCUGAGGGGGUUCGUGCUCCUUGGAAGCCCUGGGAGUUUUAGAAACCCCUGGGAAGGUUGGUUCAGCUCUGCAGCUGAGUGUCUGGACACUGUUAAGUCCUUGGCUUGUGCUAGAGUUAUCAGGGCUCCCAGGGUCUCUGCAUGAAAGAGUUUCCUCUAGCAGAGGUGAGAGGGAACCAGGCGCCUGCAAGCCCUGGAAGUGAGUGAGUGAAUCAGCUGCCUCUGGGAAUGCACUCUCUGGAGCGUAUGCACUCUGAAUAUGUGUGACAAAAUGAUUAAAUUAUAUCUAAAUGAGACCCUGUCUGACUUUCCCUCCGUAAAUUGAAUGACUGUAUCCUUCAUGCUGAAAGAGAUUCCCUUCUCACCCCGAAGUGGCUGUAUUUAUCAUGGAUCAGACAUUCUGAAAUUUGAACAGUGAUACUUAUAAAAUUCAUAUUGAAAAUAAAACCUUUUU